rnacentral:tRNA from 1 species
GUCAGGGUAGCUCAGGCGGUAAGAGCGGCAGCCUCAUAAACUGCAGGUCGUGGGUUCGAGUCCCACUCCUGACA